AGGUGACGAGCCAAGCCCAGUCCCGCCUGUGGACGCAGGCAAUGCAGACAGCUUGGGUACUCCUUGCACAGGACCAUAAGGAGAAGGAGAAACAAGGCUUUUAUUGGCACUCUAUGUCCAGUAUGCUAGCAAGGUUGGCCCAAUGAAGAAAUUUCGGGGCAAGCGGGUAAUGUAUGAACACAUUUCGAAAGAAAUACUGCAAAUACUUGGAAUCUUCAGAACCGCUACAGUGCCAGCAAGCUUCAAGACCAUAGCGAAACGAAAGAAAACUGAAGAUACAAACAACAAGACAUCCAGCCAUACUCACUACCCAGUGUCGUACGAAGAAGAGUUUGCCCCAAAUAAGGGCUGCAGACGAUAGCAUUGAACCUGAAGUUCUUCCUAGUGUGCAUUCUGUGACCUACAAGAGUGUUGUACCUAAGCCAGUGGAUGAAGCCAGCGCAUCUACUAGUGCAACUGUGGCCUCUAAAAGUACCAAGCACAGUACCUCUGAAUUUCUUGAUAACUCCACUUGUAAGACGACAGGCCAUGAACGAAGAAAGAGAAAGAAAAGCAAUGAAAUUGGUAGCCUCAGUGGUGGUGGCCGAAUGAGGCAUAUGGAGUACUUCUUUCAAAAGAA